rnacentral:rRNA from 1 species
UGGGGAAUAUUGCGCAAUGGGGGAAACCCUGACGCAGCGACGCCGCGUGCGGGAUGAUGGCCUUCGGGUUGUAAACCGCUUUUGAUUGGGAGCAAGCCUUUUGGGUGAGUGUACCUUUCGAAUAAGCGCCGGCUAACUACGUGCCAGCAGCCGCGGUAAUACGUAGGGCGCAAGCGUUAUCCGGAAUUAUUGGGCGUAAAGAGCUUGUAGGCGGUUCGUCGCGUCUGGUGUGAAAGCCCAUCGCUUAACGGUGGGUUUGCGCCGGGUACGGGCGGGCUAGAGUGCAGUAGGGGAGACUGGAAUUCCCGGUGUAACGGUGGAAUGUGUAGAUAUCGGGAAGAACACCAAUGGCGAAGGCAGGUCUCUGGGCUGUUACUGACGCUGAGAAGCGAAAGCGUGGGGAGCGAACAGG